CCUACGGGCGGCAGCAGUGGGGAAUAUUGGACAAUGGGGGGAACCCUGAUCCAGCCAUACCGCGUGUGUGAAGAAGGCCCUCGGGUUGUAAAGCACUUUCAGUGAGGAAGAACGCCUGGUGGUUAAUACCCAUCAGGAAAGACAUCACUCACAGAAGAAGCACCGGCUAACUCCGUGCCAGCAGCCGCGGUAAUACGGAGGGUGCGAGCGUUAAUCGGAAUUACUGGGCGUAAAGCGCGCGUAGGUGGCUUGAUAAGCCGGUUGUGAAAGCCCCGGGCUCAACCUGGGAACGGCAUCCGGAACUGUCAAGCUAGAGUGCAGGAGAGGAAGGUAGAAUUCCCGGUGUAGCGGUGAAAUGCGUAGAGAUCGGGAGGAAUACCAGUGGCGAAGGCGGCCUUCUGGACUGACACUGACACUGAGGUGCGAAAGCGUGGGUAGCAAACAGGAUUAGAUACCCUAGUAGUC
rnacentral:rRNA from 1 species